UACGUAGGGUGCGAGCGUUAAUCGGAAUUACUGGGCGUAAAGCGUGCGCAGGCGGUUUUGCAAGCCGGAUGUGAAAUCCCCGGGCUUAACCUGGGAAUGGCAUUCGGGACUGCAAGGCUGGAGUGCGGCAGAGGAGACUGGAAUUCCUGGUGUAGCAGUGAAAUGCGUAGAUAUCAGGAGGAAUACCGAUGGCGAAGGCAGGUCUCUGGGCCUGCACUGACGCUCAUGCACGAAAGCGUGGGGAGCAAACAGG
rnacentral:rRNA from 1 species